UACAGAGGGUGCAAGCGUUAAUCGGAAUUACUGGGCGUAAAGCGUGCGUAGACGGUUAUGUAAGUCAGAUGUGAAAGCCCCGGGCUUAACCUGGGAAUGGCAUUUGAGACUGCAUAGCUAGGGUGCGGAAGAGGGAAGCGGAAUUUCCGGUGUAGCGUUGAAAUGCGUAGAUAUCGGAAGGAACACCAGUGGCGAAAGCGGCUUCCUGGUCCAGCACCGACGUUCAGGCACGAAAGCGUGGGGAGCAAACAGG
rnacentral:rRNA from 1 species